rnacentral:piRNA from 1 species
UAGUACCGUACCUGUGCAGCUGU